AUUAAACGCUGGCGGCAUGCCUUACACAUGCAAGUCGAACGGCAGCACGGGGGCAACCUGGUGGCGAGUGGCGAACGGGUGAGUAAUGCAUCGGAACGUGCCAUUGAGUGGGGGAUAACGUAGCGAAAGUUGCGCUAAUACCGCAUAUUCUGUGAGCAGGAAAGCAGGGGGACCGCAAGGCCUUGCGCUCUUUGAGCGGCCGAUGUCAGAUUAGGUAGUUGGUGGGAUAAAAGCUUACCAAGCCGACGAUCUGUAGCUGGUCUGAGAGGACGACCAGCCACACUGGGACUGAGACACGGCCCAGACUCCUACGGGAGGCAGCAGUGGGGAAUUUUGGACAAUGGGCGAAAGCCUGAUCCAGCCAUGCCGCGUGCAGGAUGAAGGCCUUCGGUUGUAACUGCUUUGUACGGAACGAAAAGACUACUGGUAAUACCUAGGGUCCGAUGACGGUACCGUAAGAA
rnacentral:rRNA from 1 species